ensembl:lncRNA
GUGAGGAGUAGGGGGAGGUUGGACAAUUGGAGCAGAGACCUAGGGCAGCUAGGAAGCUCCACGGCCUCCUUGCCCUAUGCAUCUCUUCUAUCUGGCUGUUCCUGAGUUUUGUAUACAUUCUGAUGUAAAAACAAACAAACAAAAAACCUACUAAUCUAGUAAGUAAAAUGUUUCUCUGAGUUCCCUGAGCUGCUCCAGUGAAUUAACUGACCCAGGGAAGGGGUUAUUGGAAACUCCAAUCUGUAACAGGAGCACAGGUGGAAGAAGUUCAGCAGAGUGCUCAGCAAGAGCAGCAAACAACUGGGACCUGAAGAAGAGAUAAUAUCUCAGGAGAGAAAGAGAGACUCAGAUGCGUGAAACAGAGGUGGUGACAGAUGGGCUUCCCGGGUGGUGCUAGUGGUAAAGAAUCCGCCUGCCAAUGCAAGAGACAUAAGAGAUGUGGUUUCGAUCCCUGGGUCAGGAAGAUCCCCUGGAGGAGGGCAUGGCAACCCACUCCAGUAUUCUUGCCUGGAGAAUCCCCAUGGACAGAGGAGCCUGGAGGUCUACAGUCCAUAGGAUUGCAAAGAGCCGAACGCAACUGAAGCGACUAAGCAUGCAUGCACGUAGGGUGACAAACGUCACUUAUUGUGGUGACCAUUUUGCAAUAUAUACAAAUAUUAAAUCAUGUUGUACAUCUGAAACUAAACAAUAUUCUAUGUGAAUUGUACCUCAACAAAAAUGCUGAUAUUAUAUUGAAGGAUUUUUUCAUCUAGCUUUAUAAGAGUUCCACUUUGGCAGUCUCUCAAUAGUCUGGUCUGAUUUUGUAGAAUCUAUCUAUAAAAUGUUUUGGUCCUGGAUUUUGUCUAUAUUUUACAUUUGUCUAUUGCUGCUGGUCGGAGAAGGCAAUGGCACCCCACUCCAGUACUCUUGCCUGGAAAAUCCCACGGACGGAGGAGCCUGGUGGGCUGCAGUCCACGGGGUCUCGAAGAGUCGGACACGACUGAGCGACUUCACUUUCACUUUUCACUUACAUACAUUGAAGGAGGAAAUGGCAACCCACUCCAGUGUUCUUGCCUGGAGAAUCCCAGGGACGGGGAGCCUGGUGGGCUGCCAUCUAUGGGGUGGCACAGAGUCGGACACGACUGAAGCGACUUAGCAGCAUUGCUGCUGGUCUAUUCUGUUUUUAACUUCACUGAAAUUUUAUUUUUUUUAUGGAAAAGCCAUUCGUUCCAAUUUUAAAAGCUACUUUGUAAAAAUGUUCUCUUAUUAAAAAAAAAUCUGUAAUUACAGUUUCCUAUUUUUUUAAUUCUUGAUCUGGUUACAAAAGGGUUGUUUAUUGGUAUUUUCAGAGAGUUGACAUUUGACAUU